rnacentral:rRNA from 1 species
AUCUAUGUCCAUGACACCCUGAAUGUGCCUGAUCGCAUCUGAUCUCGGAAGCUAAGCAGGGUUGAGCCUGGUUAGUACUUAGAUGGGAGACCACCUUAGGAAUACCAGGUGCCAUAGGCG